rnacentral:lncRNA from 1 species
GUGUUAGUAAUCAGGUGCUCUCAAUAUAGGAAGACUACCAUGGAUUACCAGCGCAGGCUGAAUGUAAUUACAUGAGCCUUUAAAAGCCUAAGAAAUCUGCCAUGUGGAUGAAGCAGAAGAAUUCAGAAGGACUCAAAGCAUGAAAAUGAUUCAGAGAGCUUACAUUUUCCUUCCCUUGUUCCAUAAGCAAGAGUCUAUCUUUGUUGGCUUUGAUGAUAAAGGGACCACAAUCCAAAGAAUGCUAAUAGCCCCUAAAACUGAGAAUGAUCCCUGGUUCACAGCCAGCAAGAAAACGAGAGAAUUCAGUCUUACAACAGCAAGAAAUGGGAUUUAACCAGCCAGCUAAGUAAGUUUGGAAGUGGAUUUUCUUCCAGAGCACACCUGUAAGUGCCUAUCUGGCUGACACCUUGAUUUCAUCUUUCUAAAACCCCAAGCAAAGGACCCAUUGAGCUCAGCAUGGACAUCUGACUGACAGAACUGAAAGAUAAUAAAUGCAUGUUAUUAUAAGCUAAGAAGUUUUUGUUAAUUUGUUUUGGUAGCAAUAGAAAACUCCUACAGCAGAAGAGAAAGGGAACUUAAAUAGAUGUUGGAGAUAUAAACAUAAUAAAGAUUUCAGAGACAUAGGGCAAUGUAGCUAUAUGCUGAAAAGAAAUUGGAGGAAGAGUUUUGGGAUCCAAGAUUUUGGAAAGAGAGAAAAGGAGUACAUACUAAACUGAAACGAUUGUUAAAGUGAUUUCUGCUAUGAGCCGUGCUUCUUCAGAUGUGAAUGACUUUAUUCAGAGAGAUCUAGAGGGAGCCUGGGAAAUAUUUAGUUUAUAUAGGAGAAACUGGAGUUGGAGAAAGAAUAAACAUAAUAAACAGAAGACAUUUUGAUAAUCCAGAAAUAAACGAUUUACUCUAGAACUGACAUGGUAAGAAUGGCAAUAAAGAGAUUAGGCCCUGUUAUAGAUAAAUCAAAUACUUACUGUGAAAGAUUGCCAACCUUGCAUACUUAGGAAAUUUACAUUAGUGGUAUCAUCUGGCUCUGUGUCUCCGCCCUAGUCUCCUCUUGAAUUGUAAUCCCCAAUUACAAUUGGGGAUUGUAAUUUGGGGGAGGAACCUCUUGGGAAGUGAUUGGAUCAUGGGGGUGGUUCCCCAUGCUCUUCUUGUGCUAGUGAGUGAGUUCUCACGAGAUCUGAUAGUUUUAUAAGGGGCUCUUCCGCCUUUGCUUUGCAUUUCUUUCUCUUGCUUCCUUGUGAAGAGAGAUGUGUUUCCUCCCGUUUCCACUAUGAUUUUAAGUUUCCUGAGGCCUCCCCAACCAUCUCAGUGGAACGGCCGGAGCAUGUAAUUGCUGGAGUGGGAUCCUUCAUGGAUUUCUCUUAUCCUGGCAUUGACAAUGAUAGAAGAGGAGGCCCCUCCUUCUACCUGGGUAACUGUGAUUAACAGACACAGAAUGGACGUGUGCUGAGAAAGAAAUCGUUGCUAUGUUAAGAUCCUUGGGAAGAAUUGUAUAAUGCCUAGCUGACUUAGUUGUGAGAUAACUUGAAAGCUGAAAGACUGCUGUUACUACAACUGAGGAAAUGUACAGAUCUUUGGGGAUCCUGUCACAAAGAUUAGAAUCUUUCCCUGAGGUCGGGGGUUGAAGACCAGCCUGGCCAAUGUGGCGAAACUCCAUCUCCACUGAAACUAUAAAAAUUAGCUGGGCGUGGUGGUGGGCGCUUGUAGCCCCAGCUACUCUAGGGGCUGAAACGAGAAUCACUUGAACCCAAGUAGUGGAGAUGGCAGUGAGCAGAGAUUGCACCACCGCACUCCAGCCUGGACGACAGAGUGAGAUUCUGUCUCAUAAAAAAAAGAAAAACGACAACAAAAAAGAUUAGAAUAUUUAAGGACUGCCGAAUUAAGUCUUAUUUUCUGCUUCAUUUUUGCCACAGAUCUGGACUCUGUUCAGAUUAUAAGAAGGCUUUCAAGUAAUAAAACUAUGAAUAUCUUAAAAGCUUAUGAAUCAGCCUUGUCUUUUACUGUCAUUGUGGCAUUUGUUGUACUUUUAGUACUCUGAGUUUUGGAGUUUUCAUUGUUCUCCUAUGACUAAGCCCCUGUUCUCUUCCCUGUAUCCCUGUCUAUGGAGUUUCAGUGUAUAUUCAUGUGCCCAAUUCCCUGACUUGAUUCCAUAUUAACUGCCUCAGCUCCUCUAGUUUCAGGGUCUUUCUUACACUCUGAAAAAAUCGGGUGUCCUUAUUGGAGUCUCAUUUUUCACUGAUGCCAGCUCUUCUACUUUGACCUAAAACUCACAAUCCUGCGCUCUGCUCAUUUAACACUGUUCUGCCAUUAUCUGCUGCUCAUCACACACACCCACACACACACACGCCUUCCUUUCUUUAUGACUUGCUGUCUUGAUACCCUCCUAAUACCUGAUCCUUCAGACAAGUUCCUUCAGUUGUCUUCUUUCUGGAUCCCAGCCAUUCUCGGAAAGAGAGUUUAGUCCUGUUACUGACUAUACUUAAUUAGCAUAGCAUGGUCCGGAAUAAGACAGCAGGGAUGGGGGCUGCCCUGAGGAGUUUCUGGAUACACAGUCUCACCAGAGUUGUCUUGCACACAACCUGUAGGUAAAUAUAUGAACACUGAAGUGUAAAACUUUUGACAGGAACUACUCAAGUGUUCUGUCUUUUUCUUUGGAGUUAUGUGAAUAACGAGAAAGCA